rnacentral:rRNA from 1 species
UAUGAAUGAAUUUUCUAAGUUUUUUUUUUGUUUUUUCUUAAUUUAUAUUUUUGUUGAAAAUAACAAAUUUUUCCUUUAAGACUAAAAGACCCUAAAAUUUUUAUAAUAUAUUCGAAGUUUUGAAUAUAUUAUUUAAUUGGGGAAAUUAAAAAAUAAAAUUAUUUUUAUUUUUUUUUAUUUUUGAACUUUUUUAUUGAUAAGUUUGAAAAAUACUCUAGGG